CAGUAGCCGCGGUAAUACGAAGGGGGCUAGCGUUGCUCGGAAUGACUGGGCGUAAAGGGCGCGUAGGCGGAUUGUUUAGUUAGGCGUGAAAUUCCUGGGCUUAACCUGGGGACUGCGCUUAAUACAGGCAGUCUAGAGUGAGGAAGAGGGUUGUGGAAUUCCCAGUGUAGAGGUGAAAUUCGUAGAUAUUGGGAAGAACACCGGUGGCGAAGGCGGCAACCUGGUCCUUGACUGACGCUGAGGCGCGAAAGCGUGGGGAGCAAACAGGAUUAGAUACCCCCGUAGUCCCUGUCUCUUAUAC
rnacentral:rRNA from 1 species